rnacentral:rRNA from 1 species
GGAAACGGGUUAAUAUUCCCGUACUUCUUACAAUUGCGAUGGGGGGACGGAGAAGGCUAGGUGGGCCUGGCGACGGUUGUCCAGGUUCAAGUGCGUAGGCUUAAGAGUUAGGUAAAUCCGGCUCUUUUUAAGGCUGAGACACGACGUCGAGCACCUACGGGUGUGAAGUCAUUGAUGCCAUGCUUCCAGGAAAAGCCUCUAAGCUUCAGAUUGUAAGGAAUCGUACCCCAAACCGACACAGGUGGUCGGGUAG